rnacentral:rRNA from 1 species
AACGAACGCUGGCGGCAUGCCUAACACAUGCAAGUCGAACGAGACCUUCAGGUCUAUUGGCGCACGGGUUCGUAACGCGUGGGAACCUGCCCUUAGGUUCGGAAUAACUCCCCGAAAGGGGUGCUAAUACCGGAUAAUGUCUUCGGACCAAAGAUUUAUCGCCUUUGGAUGGGCCCGCGUUGGAUUAGCUAGUUGGUAGAGUAAAAGCCUACCAAGGAGACGAUCCAUAGCUGGUCUGAGAGGAUGAUCAGCCACACUGGGACUGACACACGGCCCACACUCGCAAGGGAGGAAGGCGUGAGGAAGAAUGGACACUGGAGGAAUGACUGACCCAGGAAUGUAGAGUGAGGUAUGAAGGAAUGAGGGUUGUAAAGCUUUUCUACGCGGGUUGUUACUGAAACUACAGAGAAAGCAAGGGCUAACUAAGUG